GACCACCAUUGCUGUAUUGCUGACCCUGGACCUAUAGUCGGCAUAGUGAUUGGUAUUGUCAUAUUUAUUGCGGCGAUUGUCCUUGGAAUAUUUUGUUACAAAACGAAAUGUCGCUAUUGCCCUUUACAUUGCAAACCACGAAGGAUAGCAGUCAUUCUACCGAUGGCAGUCACCAACACACAGAAUCAGAUGAAUGCAAGUAAUGGUUACCCAUUAUCAGCUUAUGGUAAUGCAGGAUCAGAACCUACGCCAUUCGGCAUCACGAACUAUGGACAUCAACCUCCCCUCGGUGAUUACACAGCCAACACAUCCCAGGAUACAGUUUUUACUUAUUCACCUUCAACUUUAACCUGAAGAAAUUGAAUACAUUAAAAUACAUUUAGAAUAUGUUUUGUUUUCUCUGAUUGUGUAUUGUUUUAAAUAUUGGCAAGCAGCAAUGAUUGUAUUCGUUGAUUCGAAGAUUUCAAAUGAUUUCAAAGUGUCUUAAUUUAAAAAUGAUUUUACAUCUGAAUUCUCUAACGGUCCAAAAGACAUAAGACUCUCUAUAUAAAGUCUAGCAUAAGUAUUGAUUCUAAUUAAUUAAAAAAAAAAAACUUUGAAUGAAAGGUAAUUGCUUGAAGACAUUUCUG